UACAGAGGUCUCAAGCGUUGUUCGGAUUCAUUGGGCGUAAAGGGUGCGUAGGCGGCGCGGUAAGUCGGGGUGUGAAAUCUCGGAGCUUAACUCCGAAAACUGCAUUCGAUACUGCCGUGCUUGAGGACUGGAGAGGAGACUGGAAUUUACGGUGUAGCGGUGAAAUGCGUAGAUAUCGUAAGGAAGACCAGUGGCGAAGGCGGGUCUCUGGACAGUUCCUGACGCUGAUGCACGAAGGCCAGGGGAGCAAACGGG
rnacentral:rRNA from 1 species